GGAAAGAGACCAGCAGGGAGGGGGCCGCUCACCUGCAGGUGGGCACAGCGGGAAACAUGAGUGAGGGGCUCUUUCUUCCCUUUCGUUCCAGAGGGUCUGAGAACGAGGAGGAGCAGUGCCCGUGGAUGGCAGAGCAGACCUCGCCUGGGCCGGGUCUGGGCUCUGCUGCCACAACCCAGAUCCAGGAGCCAGCUGAGGCCAGCACAGUUCUCUCCCCUGUGAAUGUGACAAUUGGCCUGGGUCCUGAUUCCCCACAUCCUGCUGCCUAACGUGAUGCACCCAUCAUCUCCAACCAAGAGACAGGGAUCAGAGAUUCAACAUGUCAGCAAACUACAACUCACCCGCAUGCAAGCCAGCUGUCCAAUGGGAAUUCUUCUGAUGGAGCGAUGGGGUGGACUGAGGUUUUAUACUUGCUUCCUCCAGUGAUGCAGAGCACUAUUUCCAAACCCAAGUAGUCCUCUGGCUCCCAAAAUGAGGGAGAAGAGAGGAGGAGAAGGAGGAGCUAAGCUGCACCCAUUGUCAGUGAGCACAGGUGCAGGAGAGAGGGGGUGCCAGACACAUCUCCACCUCCAUCCCUGGAUCUGUGAUUGACAGGUACUCGUAUAAUUCAUACAGGCCAAAGGGGACGAGGCAGGCAGAAUAUCAGCCCCCUAAAGACACUCAUGUUCUAAUCCCUAGAACCUGUGAAUGUUAACCUUAUAUGGCAAGAAAAGGAUUUUAUAGAUGUGAUUAAGUUUAAGUUCUAAAAAUGGAGAGGUUAUCCUGGAUUAUCUGAGUGGGCCCCAUCUGCAAUCACGAGACCGAGGCAGAGGCAGAUCUGACCCCAGACAGAAGAGGAGAAUGCAGCAGCGCCCGCAGAGGCAGAGGCUGGAAUGGAGCAGCCCCAAGGCAAAGCAUGCUGGCCACCAUCAGAAGCCGGAGUAUGUGAGGCACAGACGCUUCCCUGGAGCCUCCAGGGGAGCACAGCCCUGCUGAUACCUUGAUUUGGGCAUUAAGACUUAUUUUGGACUUUCGGCCUCUAGAACUGUGACAGAAUACGUUUCUGUUUUUUACACACUUUGUGUGUAAGACUGUGUUACCGCAGUUGCAGGAAACUCACACCAGGGACUAGAGCAGCACUGUGGUGACCACUGGUGCUGGCCGAUCUGUCAAGUGGACCAGGCCCUGGUUCCAGAAGUGAGGUCCUCAUGCAGAGGAGAGGACUGCACACCUGGAAGGGAGGUGGUGAUUAGGUAAUGAACAGUUCUUCCAUUCCUGUACCAAUUGAACAAGGCAGUCCCCUCUCUCCUAUUCACCCUCAUCCAGCCUCCUCCCCACCAACCCCAUCUACCUCCCUAGAGGGCACUUGCA
ensembl:lincRNA